CGCAAGCCUGACGGAGCAAGACCGCGUGCGGGAUGACGGCCUAAUGGUUGUAAACCGCUUUUCUCUGGGAAGAUGAUGACGGUACCAGAGGAAUCAGCCUCGGCUAACUCCGUGCCAGCAGCCGCGGUAAUACGGAGGAGGCAAGCGUUAUCCGGAAUUAUUGGGCGUAAAGCGUCCGUAGGUGGUUAUUCAAGUCUGCUGUCAAAGCGUGGGGCUUAACUCCAUAGAGGCAGUGGAAACUGGAUGACUUGAGUGCGGUAGGGGUCGAGGGAAUUCCCAGUGUAGCGGUGAAAUGCGUAGGUAUUGGGAAGAACACCAGUGGCGAAGGCGCUCUACUGGGCCGUAACUGACGCUGAGGGACGAAAGCUAGGGGAGCG
rnacentral:rRNA from 1 species